GACGAACGCUGGCGGCGUGCUUAACACAUGCAAGUCGAGCGGAGCGGCGAACGGGUGAGUAACGCGUGAGUAACUGCCCCCCUCUCUGGGAUAACAGUUGGAAACGGCUGCUUAUACCGGAUAGUGGGGGAUGACUCGCGUCCUAUCAGCUUGUUGGUGGGGUAGUGGCCUACCAAGGCGACGACGGGUAGCCGGACUGAGUGGGCGACCGGCCACAUUGGGCUGAGAUACGGCCCACAGUCCUACGGGGGGCAGCAGUGGGGAAUAGUGCACAAUGGGGGAAACACUGAUGCAGCAUGGCCGCGUGGGGGAUGAAGGCUUUCGGGUUGUAAACCUCUGUCGCUAUCGAAAGGGUAGGUGGAGAAGAAGCGCCGGCUAACUACGUGCCAGCAGCCGCGGUAAUUC
rnacentral:rRNA from 1 species